rnacentral:snRNA from 1 species
GGGAGGGCCAUUGGGCUCCUAAUGGGUCAUCAAGGCUGAUGUGGCUGUUGGCUGGCUAGGGGAGUGUCCCCUUCCUAUUUCAGCACUCCGUGUGCAUCCUGCUUGCUGCUGUAAGCUGGUCAACAUUCCCAGAAAGAAGGAAGACCACUCUUUGACCAACGGCAUGCAAGUAGCUGCAUCCCCCUGCUAGAACCUCCAAAUGAUCUCUCAGACUGCAGGGAGAGGGAGCAGCCCACUGGGGGCUGUG